rnacentral:lncRNA from 1 species
UUCUUUCGAGUUUCACAACCUUUACCAAGGUUUGGGUGUGGCAAAGUUCUCUAAGGGUUCGUUUGAACCCCUGGCCAAUACCAGGCACCCAGAAUAUGUCAUCAUUCACAAGUUCAAGUGUGGAAGUGCCAGCCUUGUGCAUCAAAGUUCAGUGGGUGGUUAGGGCUCCCACAGCAAUGCUUACACUAAGGGGACAGAACCUAAUUUCUAAGAGUAGUGACAUUGUGAUAGAUUUGAAAGAGUUGAAACAAUUGAGAGACAGUUUGAGAGGAAAAUAGUAAGAAGGGUUGAAAGAGUUCUUUUGAAAUUCAUUUGGACUGACCAGUUCAAAACAAGAGAAUCACACAAGCAGGGGCAAAGGGGAAGGGAACAAAUAAGCAAGGAAACUACUUAUAUAUGUACAACAUAUCCAAGAAAGGGAAUCAGACAUGGUAGAUAAGGAGUCCAGCUCUUACUGCACCAAACUCCCAAAUAGAAACAACCCCAGGAAGAGGUUUCAGGCUAAUCAAGUAGCCAAGCAGAUCUUGGAUACAUGCUAAUAGUGCACAAGGAAGAGGGAAGCAUACAUUGAGACAAAGAAGGGGGUAGGGAACAUGCUAAGUUAAAUUAGGCAGACUAAUACAUACAUGCUAAAGGCAAUAAGAGCAACAGAAUCAUAGGUAAAAGCAAACAAGAAACAAGAUGAAGUGCAAAACUAGUAGAAGAGUGUUGUUUAGGAAGCUGUAUCUUAAAUAGGUGAUAUACCAGUUGCAGAUAAUAGAAUAAAAUAGCAAUGAGCAAUAAUGCACAGAGGAGAGCAAAGUGUGCAGAGAGUGUGCAGAGAAUGAUAGUAGCAGUGUACAGAGAAGUAAGCAGC